rnacentral:lncRNA from 1 species
CAGCGAGCCUGCCAGGGGCGUGAGAGCCCUGAAUCCACACAGUCUGCUCCAGUCCCCACUUAGAUUUUCCCCAGAGGGAGGCAUUUCCUGGUGCUCUUCUCACCAUCUAGGCAGCUGGGCAUUCUGAAAUGUCUCCAGGAAAUGCCGUUGGGAGAUUUCUGAGACUCUUCAAUCAAACCCAGGCCUUCAGGGAGCACCCAGGUUGCAAGUGGUGAGAAGAAACAUCAGAAGCAGUUGAGGGCCCAGGAAGUGGGUCUUGUAGAGAUGAGGAGGUAUUCUGCUGGAUGGCUUUUAGAAUGUUUCCUCCAGAGUCCUCUGCCUUAUUCACAACUGUUUUUGUCUUAAAAUCUCUCUUGGAUUUUAUAAACUGACAUGAUUUCUUGCUCUGUUAAAC